GAGUUAGUAACUUAAUAGGUAAAGGGUUAUCUUGUCGAGAUAAUAGAUGCGGGUUCAAAUCCGGCCUAACUCG
rfam:Ajellomyces capsulatus H88 supercont1.17 mitochondrial scaffold, whole genome shotgun sequence.